GGGCAGAACCUUAUUAGAUCCAUCCAAAUUAACAUAACCCGGCUUGCUGGAACAUUUGGAGAUGUGGCUGUUGGGCUUCGAAUAUCAUCGGAUCAUAAAGAACAGCCGAUUGUUACCGAAAAUGCAGAGAGGCAGCUGGUGGUCAAAGAUGGUGCCACAUAUAAAGUGGACGUGGUGCCAAUAAAGAAUCAGGUUGUAGGUUGCCAGAGCCUUCCAUGGUAGCUCAGGGCUCAAGGCAGGGAUCAACCCUGGACAGGACUCCAUCCCAUCGCAGGGCACAGUCACACUCACACCCACACUCACUCAGACUGGAAUCAUUGACACAUGCUGAUUCAGCCUCACGUGCACAUCUUUGGAAUGUGGGGGAGACUGGAACACUUGGAGAGACCCAUGCAGAUAUGGGGAGAAUGUGCAGACUCCACACGGACAGUUGCCCUGGCUGGCAAUUGAUUUUUUUCUCAUCAACAUUAUAUGAAACAGCAUUGAGUGAAACUGUGUGAUUUGAAGACCUGUUGUAGUUCCUUGGGAAACUGACUCAAUGUCAUGACCUUACUUUAUCAAUUUCUAACCUGCAUUUCCUGUAUCCGACAGCUCUCAAGGCUAAACAGUACAAAAAUGGAAAAAGAGAAGUGGAUUAAGUUAACCAGAGUAUCAUUGUAUCAAGUCUCACUUACAAAUUAGAAAAAGUUUAAAAAAUA
rnacentral:lncRNA from 10 species